CCUACGGGAGGCAGCAGUGGGGAAUAUUGGGCAAUGGGCGCAAGCCUGACCCAGCAACGCCGCGUGAAGGAAGAAGGCUUUCGGGUUGUAAACUUCUUUUGUCAGGGACGAAGCAAGUGACGGUACCUGACGAAUAAGCCACGGCUAACUACGUGCCAGCAGCCGCGGUAAUACGUAGGUGGCAAGCGUUAUCCGGAUUUACUGGGUGUAAAGGGCGUGUAGGCGGGGAAGCAAGUCAGAUGUGAAAACCACGGGCUCAACCUGUGGCCUGCAUUUGAAACUGUUUUUCUUGAGUACUGGAGAGGCAGACGGAAUUCCUAGUGUAGCGGUGAAAUGCGUAGAUAUUGGGAGGAACACCAGUGGCGAAGGCGGCCUGCUGGACAUUAACUGACGCUGAGGCGCGAAAGCGUGGGGAGCAAACAGGAUUGGAUACCCCUGUAGUC
rnacentral:rRNA from 1 species